rnacentral:rRNA from 1 species
CAGUAGCCGCGGUAAUACGUAGGUGGCAAGCGUUGUCCGGAAUUAUUGGGCGUAAAGGGCUCGCAGGCGGUUUCUUAAGUCUGAUGUGAAAGCCCCCGGCUCAACCGGGGAGGGUCAUUGGAAACUGGGAAACUUGAGUGCAGAAGAGGAGAGUGGAAUUCCGCGUGUAGCGGUGAAAUGCGUAGAGAUGUGGAGGAACACCAGUGGCGAAGGCGACUCUCUGGCCUGUAACUGACGCUGAGGAGCGAAAGCGUGGGGAGCGAACAGGAUUAGAUACCCCCGUAGUCCCUGUCUCUUAUAA